UUAUAUAUAUUUAUUAGAUGUAAAUAAAAUUAGAAAAAAGUCAGCAGAACCCUAUACAUCCCUCCGCCAUUGAAGUUGACCCAAUCCAUCCCGAUUCACCUCUAGUAGUUCAUUAUCUAUAACACAUCAUAGAGGAAAUUCUAAUAAAUGAGAGAUGCAUAGGAUUCACAUUCCAUUUAUGUAUAACUGUUUCAUAAAUGGAUUAUAUAAGUAGAACACUUAAAUAUGUCAGCCCCAAUCCGUUCCGUUAUGACCUGAACGAUCUGUACACAUGAAUGAGUUGGAUUAGUCUAAUCAAUUUUGUAUUGAAGCAAUGUUUUAGUAAGACUUACUUGACUACAACAUAGACAAUAAAAUAGAAUAAAGUAAAAGUAUAAUAUAUAACACCACCACCAUAUAGAACUUGGUCACCUUCAGUCUUCAAAAUAAAAGAAUGAAAUCGAAAUCGAUAUUCAUCAACAAGCGACAAUCACAAACGGAGUUGAACCGACGAUUAUAGUCAUGGUUGAUGGUGGAAGCACUACAACAAUGUUACAAUGUUAUUGACUUUUAGCAGAAUAUAUUUUCUUGGUGAUUUUAGUAAAUUACAUUUUUUUUCUUUCUUAAUUAUGGUCGACUUAUUAUUUUGUUUUUCAAAACUAGCCUAAAAGACCAUUUUUUAUUGUCAAUUCAAAAAUAGCUAAAAAAAACUAAUAUUUGAAUCAUCCCAAUUUUGAUCAUAAUAAAUUUUUACAAAAUAAUAAUAAUAAUAAUAAUAAUUUUAGUUGUAGUGGGUCAGUUCGUAGUAGGGGUGUUCAAAAAAACCAAAAACUGAACCAAACUGCUGAACUGAAUCGAACCGAACUGGUUUAUAAAAAUUGAGAACCGAACUGUUUUUGAACUGAUUUUUUAAAACAACAACUGAACCGAACCGGUUUUCAGUUUAAAAAACCAAACCGAACCGGUUUUUAAUUUGAAAAAACUUAACCGAAUUGGUUUUUAUUUCAAAAAACUUGAACCAAAUUUAUUUUUUAAUAAGUAAUUAGGGGUAAUUAUGUAAAAUUUGGCAUAUAUGAACAAAAAAACUAAGUUAAACCGAUUCGGUUUGGUUCAAAAUAAAAAACCGAUUCACCAUUUUGUAAAACCGGUUCGGUUCGGUUUUUUGAACUGAAAACUGGUUUGCUUCAUUUUUUUGAAUUGAAAAUCAGUUCGGUUCAAUUUUUAAAUGGUUCUAGUUCAGAACUGAACUUUGUCCACCCCUAGUUUGUAGUCUAUUGAACUGACAUUGUCCAACCUCACUUUUAAUAUGGGCUAAAUGGCCGGAAUAAAAAGACUAAUUCUUUUUUAAGUCUCAUUAUUAAGGAUCAACUUGUACUUAUAUGUGGGUCAAACGGCCUGAUCACUUUUGUCCGACUUAUUUUGUCAGCUCUAUGUAAUAUGUAUAAGGAUUAAGUUGAGUUGGUUUAGUCAAACUCAUUAUUUGAUCUAAUUAUAAUUUAUGGAUUUGAAUAGGGACAAAAAUACUAAUUUUCUAUCAACAUCAAACCAAUCUAAGACGAGUUGGGUUAAGUGAUCAAAUAAUGAGAGAGUAAAUCAGCAAAUUUCCCUAUGAAAUUGUAGGAGUUAGACAAUUACCUCCAUGAAAUUUAAAAAUAGGCAAAUUGUUGAGACAAAAUCUCAAUUUAAUGUUUUGAUGAAAACAAAUAAAAAGUUAAUUAAGAAUAUUAAUUAUGAUUCUAAAUGUUAUGUUAAUUUAACUUGUGCUUUUGAGUGAAUUUAAUUAAGAACAGAAUCAAGCAAAGAAAAGAAAACAGCAACAAGAACAUUAAAACAGAUAAAGAUCUCCAGCUUCAAAAAAGUUCAUCACAGCAUGUUGAUCAAACUUUUUCUACCUCUUUAACAAAGAGUCUGCCCCGGAAAUUUGUUCAUAUCUAAUCAGUACAUGGCAAGGAACAAGUAGGAAUCAUCCAGACUCAAAAAGGUUAUUUGAUCGCAAAGAUCAAAGGACUCAAAGACAGACAAAAAUCAUGACGAUCUGCAUACUCCAAAAUUCAAAUGUCAAGAAAGUUUGAUCAAUCUGGGCAUAUGACAAGACAAUAACAAAGGAAAUCCAGAACGUUUAAAACGGGAACUCCAGAAUGAUUAUUGAAGCUCAAGAAAGUUCAAACUGAUAAACCAAGAACUUAAUCAUUCUCCGUUUUUCUGCACAGAGACAGCAACUCUGUUUCUCUUUGUUUUAAUCUGCAAUUCCUCUUCAACCUUCUCUAGCUACACUCAAGACUCAAGGCAGAUAAUGUACCAUCCAAGAUCAAUGAAGAAACGUCAAAGAAAGGACAAAGAUGCUUUAAAUGCUAAACCAUUAAAAGUCAAAAAGCUAUUUCAAAGAAGNNNNNNNNNNNNNNNNNNNNNNNNNNNNNNNNNNNNNNNNNNNNNNNNNNNNNNNNNNNNNNNNNNNNNNNNNNNNNNNNNNNNNNNGAAGGCCAUUAUCCCAGUUCUCAGCAAGAAAUUCAAGCGCUAAGUAAUCAACAAUAUACAAUCACACUUAAGCUUGCAAUUCUGCAAAACAGAGGCAACAUCAUUUUCUGCAAUUCGCGAAACAGCCACUGCUGCACAUUCACAAAUCAGCUGCGAAAUUGUCAUUAGAUACUCUGUAAAGAAUCUAUUCUCAAACAAGAGUUGAGCAAUAUCAGAUUCUGUCAAAUUCAAUCAUUUGUAAAAACUCAAACUAUAAGAGUUUCUUUAUAGUUUGUUUAAGAUUGCUUCCUAUCAAGGUUAGAUAGGUGUUGUAAUUGCUUUCUGGGUGGAAAGUAAUUAAGGUGGAAAUAGAUCAAGGUUGAUCUAUUCUAGAUGUUGUAAGAUUAAGAAGGCUCUUCGUUUUAAACACUUAGUGGAAAAUCUCACAGUGUGAGGACUGAACGUAACCCACGUUGGGUGAACCAGGAUAAAUCUUUGUGUGGUAUUCUCUUUCCUAUCUCUUUCUUUAUUAUACUGCAUUGAUCAAUUAAGAUAAAAUAGAAACUGAUUUUCUGCUAAUCUAAGAACGUUCUCUGUUUUAUAACAUAAACCAAGAACGUUCUCCGUUUUCUGUUUUCAUAACCAAGAUCAUUCUUGAGUUAUUUUCUUAAGUUUUAACAGGAAUUUUUAAAAGGCACAUUUACAAUUCAAACCCCCCUUUCUUGUAAAUCGACAUUGUUACUUCACAAAUAACAUUCUAAAAUUGAAAGACAUCGGAUAAUAUAGUCUCUCCAUUAAUAAUGUUUACGUGAACAUUAACUGCUUACGUGGCAAACCUAGUUGUCAGCCAACUCAUUGUCACGUAAUAGAGAAAUUAAUUUGUCUGAUUUUAGAAAUACGAGAGACUAAUUUUCCCUAUUAAAAAAACUUAAACUUUGUCAUCAUUGCAACGCUAACAUCUUCAUCUAUAUAAUCAAUUCUCAUUCUUCUUUCAUGAAUUCAUAUUUUCUUCUUCCAAGAACUUUAAUUUAUAUAAUUCAUUCUUCUUCCUUUUUCAUGGUGUUCAAAUCGUAAAAAAUGAAAGAAUAAAAAAUCACUUAUUCGUUUUCCUCCAUAGGUUAAAGCUUGAAUCCAGUUAAUCUCAAAUGUCAUUGUAUAAGAAAAAUUAUUUUUAGAGUUGCUCCAACCUCAUUAACGGAACAAACUAAUAGAAGGACAAUAUUGUUCGACUUCUUUCAAUUUCAAGAUGUUAUUUUUCUAUUUUAAAUUACAGAAAGUAAAUAUCAGACCCUACAAUUUCAGAGGAAAUUUAGUUAUUUAUUCAAUAUUAAGAUAUUUAAUAUUUUUAAAACGCAAAAAUAAGAAAUGACAUUUUAGUCUAUGAAAAAUCAACAUUUAAACUAAAAUUACAUAAUACUAAAUUUUGGCACUUUUUGUCUUACAAAUUUUAGGAGUUGAAGUAUAUUAAAAAAAAAGGUUUUGCUACACAAUACGAAAGUUUUCCAACGAAAGAUGGACAAAACAAAAAAAUUACUUACCAUACACGAUGUAUGUGAGUUUGAAACCAUAAGCAUAUUAUUACUUGAAGUAAAUACUUUGGAUUUGAAUGAGUUUGUUUCGAUUCGAUCCACACAAAAAAAAAAAAAAAACCAACCAAGCUUCAAAUUGAAAUGAUUCAUAAAAUUUAUACAUAUACGAACACGUCUAUUCGUACUAUCAACAAGCAUUUUUUUAAAAAAAAUAACUUAAUGAUAUUUUUGCUAAAGAUAUCUUAAAUAUUUAUUUUUAAAAUAUAAAGGUAGAUUAUAUACUAUAAACAUAAACAUGUACAACAUUCAACAACAAAAGAAUCAAAUCAUUGACUUUACCAGUUCAGGUAGUUGGUUGUUUGCUCCUUGUUUGUUCCUCACUUCCUCAUGGCUUCCUUCUCGUUUUAUCACAAGUAUAUAUAUAUAUAUAUAU
rnacentral:lncRNA from 1 species